rnacentral:lncRNA from 1 species
GGGAUUACAGGCGUGAGCAUGACUUGUGGACUCCCCCCAUUUAGCCCUCACUGUAACCCCCAUGUUAUGGAUUGAAUGUUAGAGUCCCCUGAAGAUUCAUAUGAUGAAAACUAAUACCCAACGUGAGAAUAUUAAGAGGUAGCGUGUCUGUUGAGCAGUCUAGGGAUGGAUGGAUGGAUGGACAGAUGGAGAUAUAACGAUAGAUAGAUAGAUAGAUAGAUAGAUAGAUAGAUAGAUAGACAAUAGAUAGUAAAUAGGUAGGACUUUUGGGACAUGAUCACAUCAUGAGGGCUUCAUCCUUGUGAAUGGGAUUCAUGCCCUUAUUUUAUUUAUUUUUUAUUUAUUUUUUUUUUGAGAUGGAGUUUUGCUCUUGUGUUCACUAGGCAAAUGCAGGAAGAAAGAACAACAUUUUAUUAAUAUGUGGAGCCAAUGGCCUGUGCAAAAGUCCUGUAGUGGGGUGGAGGAAGGAAGGGCUGAAGGAACUGGGUGAUGAGCUGGACCUGGAAUGCAGACUAACUGGGGAGGGUGGAGGGUACGAGGUAGACAGGGACCACCCCAUCAGGAAACUUCUAGUUGUUUUUUUUUUUUUUUUUUGAGACAGGAUCUCACUCUAUCGCCCAGGUUGGAGUGCAGUGGUGCAAUCUUGGCUCACUGCAACCUCCACCUCCCGGGUUCAAGCGAUUCUCCUGACUCAAGCCUCCUGAGCAGCUGGGAUUACAGACAUGUGCCACCACACCCAGCUAACUUUUAUGGAUUGGGGACCCAGUUAGCAAUCACCUGUGAGAGAGACCAGGACUGGAGCGGCUUGGACCAGGAUACUCCUAUCAUCGACCUCCUCCCACAGCAAGGAAGAAGCAGAGUUGAGUCACUUCCUGAAAGUCUGCAGCAGACGACACGGCUUCUCCCAGCCCGUCUUCUUCCCCACACGGUGGGCAUGGUAACGUCCUUAACAUGCACCUGUCAGUGUGAAAGCAGCAGGCUGAGAUCACACACCAAGUUCCCGUAAGUAUUCUGCAUUCAUUACCUUAUUUUUCUUUUGAGACGAAGUCUCGCUCUGUUGCCCAGGCUGGAGUAGGGCAGUGGUGCGAUCUCAGCUCACUGCAACCUCUGCCUCCUGGGUUCAAGUGAUCCUCCCACCUCAGCCUCCGGAGUAGCUGGGAUUACAGGUGUCCACCAUCAUGCCUGGCUAAUUUUUGUGUUUUCAGUAGAGUCGGGGUUUCAGCAUGUUAGCCGAGCUGGUCUUGAACUCCUGAGCUCAAGUGAUCCACCCACCCGAGCCUCCUAAAGUGUUGCGAUUACAGGUAUGAGCCACUGCACCCAGCCUUAUUUAAUUUUCAAAAACAGUCCCUUUUCAGGAGGGGCAUUACUACCAGUCCUGUCUUAGGAGGUGGGUGCUGAGGCCUGUGGUCACUUGCCCUUCCUGGAUAGCCUGGCACCUAAACCCUUCCCUGCACUGUUGAGUCUUGAAGGCAGACCUAGACUCCAGUGAUGUGCACUGGACCGUCCAGGUGGCUGUUUCCAGAUGCCCUCGCAGCCCGGCACAGGCUGUACCUGCCCCAGCCCUUGACACUGAGCCAGAAGCUGAAGCAGAGAGCAAGGCAGUGACCGUGGGGGGGCUUGGACGCAAGGUGGUACCGUGGCGGGCUCAGCCACAAGGCGGCAACCAUGGAGGGUUUGACAUAGAACCCCUCCCAGGCUCAGGCGCUGGGCACACAGGAACCAAAAGGACCAGGGUGAAGCCAGCCCCAAGACUGGGCGGCAGGGGAGUGGUCAGACCAGCGCUCUCAUCCUACGCUUUCCAAAGCCCGGCAACUGCCCUUCAUCCACCCGGCAGAGGCUACAGAUUUCCUCUCUGGAGAGAAGGAACCGGGGUUGCUCGCUGAGCUGACAAGAGGUGGCAUCCUGGAAAGAUGCAGCUGGCCAAAGCCUGCCCUCCAUACGGAGUCCCCCCCUCGGCCAAUGGCUCCAGCUAAAGGUGAGAGAAUUCCUUGCGUGGCAGAAUGGGCCACCCAAGACCUACCAACACUGACACUCAGGACCCCAGUCAAACAGAGUGGCCUUAGCAAGGGAGGUGGGUGCCAUUAUCAUCACUUGCGGAUGUGGAACUCAUGCCCAGAGGGUAUGACCAACCUGUAGGUUCCCAGCCAGGAAGCUGAAGGGCUCAGAUGCGAACCUGACUCAGUGUGGCACUCGGCAGGUCCCUUCCAGGAGCCUCAUCCCUGCCUCCGUAGGAUGGAGGUGGGGACAGCCCUCCUGAGGACACAUUUCCUGCACUGCCUCCCACAGCUGUGCCCAGACUCCCAGAGCCUCUCUCAUGCCAAGAGAGUCUGUGGUGGGAGCCAAGACAGCUGACCCCAGAAGCCCCGGGCACCCCAGACGCUCGGCCCUGGGAGGGUGGCUGUGCCGGACAGACUCCAGACAGAGCUCAGACUCCGGGUCUACACACAGUGACUUUAUUACUCUAUGGAUGCUGGUGAACUGCCCUCCCCAACCAGCUUCACGGGGGCAGGCAUCUCUGUCCAUCCCAUGCC